UGUUAAAUUUUCUAUCAAUUUGUACGGUUAAAAAUUGACCAGCCUGAUUGAAUAACCAGACCGUGACACGUCCUGUGCCAUGUGUACGCCAUGUCGAUGCACAGAGAUCAAUUUUUAGUGUAAAAAUGGGCAGAAUUUUUAACA
rfam:Gossypium hirsutum cultivar TM-1 chromosome 26, whole genome shotgun sequence